rnacentral:rRNA from 1 species
GACGAACGCUGGCGGCGUGCUUAACACAUGCAAGUCGAACGGAAAGGCCCAGCUUGCUGGGUACUCGAGUGGCGAACGGGUGUGUGACACGCGUGUGUUCUGCGCUCAACUCUGGGAGAAGCCUUGAGAACUGGGGCUAUUAUCGGAGAUAAGCAAUCGUGCCGUGGGGGGGGGGGGGGAGCGUUUGCGGUUGGGGAUGGGGUCGCGCCGUAUCAGCUUGUUGGUGGGGUAGUGGCCUACCAAGGCGACGACCGGUAGCCGACCUGAGAGGGUGACCGGCCACACUGGGACUGAGAUACGGCCCAGACUACUACGGGAGGCAGCAGUGGGGAAUAUUGCACAAUGGGCGGAAGCCUGAUGCAGCAACGCCGCGUGGGGGAUGACGGCCUUCGGGUUGUAAACCUCUUUCACCUGGGACGAAGCGUGAGUGACGGUACCGGGAGAAGAAGCACCGGCUAACUACGUG